AUGAAAAUUAACGGCCGCAGUACCCUGACUGUGCUAAGGUAGCGUAAUCAGUUGGCUUUUAAAUGAAGUCGAGAAUGAAUGGGUCUACGGGAAUAAGCUGUCUCCUUUUGUACUCGUGAACUUAUUUAGAAGGUGAAAAUCCCUUUACGUAGAAAAAAGACGAGAAGACCCUUAGAGUUUUAAUAAAAAUCACAUGUUGUGACAUUUUUUUGCUGGGGCGGCAAGGAGCACAAUUAAACUCUCCUACAUAGAUUUUGAAGACGAAAUUUAUAAGAAUCAUUAAACUACCUUAGGGAUAACAGCAUAAUUAAUUUUUAGUUUGUGACCUCGAUGUUGGACUAGGAAUAACUUUUGGUUAGAAGCCAAAAGUACCGUUCUGUUCGAACAUU
rnacentral:rRNA from 1 species